CCCCUCUCAGGGUCGCAUCUGGAGAGUUUCCAGUACUCUACCAGUCUCGACUAUGGAAGGGCGAGUCAAACGGAGGACUAUCCAUUCCAUUCCUAGCUUGGCCAGUAGCUAGCAAGUGGAAGGCAAUCUGCUACAAGU